GUUAAAAAUGCAAAUGAUUGAGCCCUGCCUUAGACCUACUGAAACAGAACUCUGGGGAUGGAGCCCAGCAAUCUGCAUUUUAAC
rnacentral:miRNA from 1 species